UCCAAAAACAGAGGUGAUGGAGGUGUCAGU
rnacentral:piRNA from 1 species